rnacentral:lncRNA from 1 species
GGCUCCUUAGCAAGGGCUAUGGUGCCAUUAUCUUUGCAGUAUAGUGUCAUGACAUCUAAUGACAUGACAUCUAAUUCUUCAACUAACAUUAGAACCAGAAUGCAUCUUACACAUCUACAAUGUACUCAACUUCCACCAAUCGAUUAUUUGGAACCCUUCCAAGAUAUUGACACAGGAUCGCACUCCAUGACAUAGACAUUCUACCAUCAAUGUCAGAUAUAAAAUUUGAAUUGAUGUAUCCUUUCACUCCUAGCUUUGAUCUUUCUUCAAAUUAAUAAUAAAUCCUUAGUUCUUCUUAAGAGCUUAAGGAUGUUUUUACAGCAAUCCAGCACUCUUAGACUAG